UACGAAGGGGGCUAGCGUUGUUCGGAAUUACUGGGCGUAAAGGGUGCGCAGGCGGCCAAGUGUGUGAGGCGUGAAAGCCCGGGGCUUAACCCCGGAAUUGCACCUCAAACUACAUGGCUAGAGCAUUGGAGAGGGUAGCAGAAUUCAUGGUGUAGCAGUGAAAUGCGUAGAUAUCAUGAGGAAUACCAGAGGCGAAGGCGGCUACCUGGACAAUUGCUGACGCUCAGGCACGAAAGCGUGGGGAGCAAAAGGG
rnacentral:rRNA from 1 species